GUUCCUGUAGCGCAAUGGAUAGCGCGUUGGAGCCCUAAACAAAAAGUCGUGGGUUCAAAUCCCACCAGGGAUG